rnacentral:pre_miRNA from 1 species
AAAGUAGUGUGCAGCCAAGGAUGACUUGCCGAUUUAUAAUAUCUUUAUAAAAACUUUGUUAAGAUAUUUUUUUUUUUCAAAUUCAUUGGUUUUGAGAAGUUAGGAAGGAAUAAUUAGGAUAUACAAUUAUUUCGCAUUUUAAAGAAAAUUAACAUGAUCGGCAAGUUGCCCUUGGCUAUACGCUUCUUUGU